UGCGCCCUCUUAUUCUUCAUAUGAAAAAUAUUUUUAUAUAAUUUUUUUCAUGCUCAAAAGCCUUUCCUAAAUUCUCAUCUAAUUCUUUUUGAAUUAGAAAUUGGUUGGCUUAAAUUUGACUUCAAAUGGGUUUGAAUUUGAAUAAAAACUUAGAGCCCAAAUUGAGUUGGACUCUCCUCUUCACGCCACCACCUUUCUCCACACAUAAAGGAUUUUUGCAUGAGAUUUUUUGCCCCAUUAUAAUGUUGGUCAACCUCUC
rnacentral:lncRNA from 1 species